rnacentral:rRNA from 1 species
UAGGGAAUCUUCCGCAAUGGACGCAAGUCUGACGGAGCAACGCCGCGUGAGUGAAGAAGGAUUUCGGUUCGUAAAACUCUGUUGUUAAGGAAGAACGAGUGUGAGAAUGGAAAGUUCAUACUGUGACGGUACUUAACCAGAAAGGGACGGCUAACUACGUGCCAGCAGCCGCGGUAAUACGUAGGUCCCGAGCGUUGUCCGGAUUUAUUGGGCGUAAAGCGAGCGCAGGCGGUUAGAUAAGUCUGAAGUUAAAGGCAGUGGCUCAACCAUUGUAGGCUUUGGAAACUGUUUAACUUGAGUGCCGAAGGGGAGAGUGGAAUUCCAUGUGUAGCGGUGAAAUGCGUAGAUAUAUGGAGGAACACCGGUGGCGAAAGCGGCUCUCUGGUCUGUAACUGACGCUGAGGCUCGAAAGCGUGGGGAGCGAACAGG